rnacentral:tRNA from 1 species
UCCUUGGUGGCUCAGACUGUGAAGAAUCUGCCUACAAUGCAGGAGACCUGGGUUCAAUCCCUAGUUUAGGAG